rnacentral:rRNA from 1 species
AUACGUAGGGUGCGAGCGUUGUCCGGAAUUACUGGGCGUAAAGAGCUCGUAGGUGGUUUGUCGCGUCGUCUGUGAAAUUCCGGGGCUUAACUCCGGGCGUGCAGGCGAUACGGGCAUAACUUGAGUACUGUAGGGGAGACUGGAAUUCCUGGUGUAGCGGUGAAAUGCGCAGAUAUCAGGAGGAACACCGGUGGCGAAGGCGGGUCUCUGGGCAGUAACUGACGCUGAGGAGCGAAAGCAUGGGUAGCGAACAGGAUUAGAUACCCUGGUAGUUCAUGCCGUAAACGGUGGGCGCUAGGUGUAGGGGUCUUCCACGACUUCUGUGCCGUAGCUAACGCAUUAAGCGCCCCGCCUGGGGAGUACGGCCGCAAGGUUGAAACUCAAAUGAAUUGACGGGG